UACUUCGAUAAGGCUAUGCGUCAUGAUA
rnacentral:piRNA from 1 species